GAGUAACAUUCCGCCCGAUAUUUUUCUAUGAGGACAAACACUUUGGACAGUCACAGUCGAUACUGGUUUUACUAUUACAACUAAUCUUUUCGCCUCAUAGCCUCUUUUGCUUAUCGGCGAAAAGUCGG
rnacentral:ncRNA from 1 species